rnacentral:lncRNA from 1 species
UAUGUGUUUGCCAUUCAUAUGAAGUGAUAGUGACAUCAUGCAUUUCCUCUUUUGACCUCUCUUGAAGAAAUGCCCACUUCUCCUAGUGUCCUCUUCAAAAUGUCCCUGGUAAGUAGGGCUGGAUAACCCUAUUCACCAGGGAUGGGAAAAGCCAAGAGUUUCCCAAAGAAUGGCCACCAAUACUCUGAUAACAAACCAGCACCAAUCCAAGAGAUCCUUCUAUGCUAGCAAUGGAAAGAACAAGACAAGUGGAGGACCCCUCUUCAAAGAUCAUGGCUUGCUUUGGAACCAUAAACCUACAACGACGUGAUAUUUAAAAAGAGGUCCUUUUUAAAUCUUAAUGGCCUCCUGACAGGUCCUCAGUAGCCUCGGUCACAGAGCUGUCUUCUAAGCAUGUAGGUUGAAAUCUGUAUAUAUGACCAGCUCAUUUGGUAUCUUCCUCUAUCAACAGGAAUCUCUUCUCUCCUUGGAUGAAGUAAUGAGACAUGGUUUAUACUCUGUAAAGACAGAUGGCUAAGUUAUAAGACAUUUUCACAGGCUGCUAAUAAAUAUAAUGAUAAUAUUAGCUGAUGUCUGUUAGCACUUCAUCAGGAAGUAGGCACUACAUGAAGCCUUACAUGCAAUAUCUCAUUUAAUUUCCUCAACAAUCAUAUGAGAGAAGCAGCAAUGCCUCUGGCUCAAAGACAAUGCAUUUGGGUACAACUGGCUGCCUGCAGGGUGAACCUCACCCUUCAGGCCUCGUCACAGCAGAGGAGUGGCUCAGGCACCAGGGCCCAGGCGCCGGGCACACCUGCUACAUUCCUCCAACUGGCUUGUUUUCAUUUUCUUUCCAAUUUAAAAGAAUGUAUUCAACAUUCCAUCUUUAGAAAAUGUGAUAACCAUCAAGUCUUUGCAUGAGAAAGGUAAGAGGGAAGUUAAUCUAUAAUGAAGAUCAACUGUGAAGAGGGAUGGGGUCUUCCCUGCCUCCCUUUAGUCAUUUACAACAUUUAAAAAAACAAUGCAGGUAAGGAAGAAGUCUAAUCUAUAAUGAGAGAAACAACAGUUACACCUGCCCAGGUUACAGAUGCCUCUCACAUGACUCAGGCACUAUAGUCAUAUUUCUUUAAAACUCAAAAUAGUUUGGAGUCCCCACAGCCUAGAUUUUAUUUUCACAUCUGCAAGUCAUUGAGAACUACUCCUGU